AAUAGCCUAACGGCUGAACCAGCAACUUGGAGGAAUGUAUAGCAGUAGCUAAUUGCACCAGCUGCAAUAUCGAAUUGAAUAAAAUUCUAGGCAGAGCUAUGAUAAUGACAUUGUCUGUCUAUGUGUCUUGACAAAAUUACGUGCCAGCAGUCGCGGUAAUACGUAGAAGACUAGUGUUAUUCAUCUUUAAUAGGUUUAAAGGGUACCUAGACGGUGAAUCAAGCCUUAAGGAACUGAUUUACUAGAGUUACUUGUGAGGGGGUAUUAAAGUACUAGUGGUGAAGAGAUGAAAUUUGUUUAUACCUUUUUUCGAGAGAAAGUUACGGCACAGAUUUAGGCGAAAGCAUCCCCUUAUGUGAUAGCUUUGUAUCGCGAACAGGAUUAGAUACCCCAGUAGUCAAAGCAGAAAAUGAUGAAUGUCAUAGAUUAAUUUAUUCUAUAAAUGAAAGUGUAAGCAUUCCACCUCAAGAGUAAUUUGGCAACAUUGGAACUGAAAUCAUUAGACCGUUUCUGAAACCAGUAGUGAAGUAUGUUAUUUAAUUUGAUAAUCCGCAAAAAACCUUACCAUGAAUAUUUACAAGCGUUGCACGGCUGUCUUUAGUUAAUGUCGUGAGAUUUUGGCCUUCCAUUAAAUUAACGUAAACCCUUGCUUUAUUUUUAUAUAAAGUAGUUCUCCGCUAUAUUGGAUAAGAUAACAGGGAUUAAGACAAGUCAUCAUGGCCUUAAUAUU
rnacentral:rRNA from 1 species